GCCUGGUGUGGUGGCUCACACCUGUAGUCCCAACUACUCAGGAGGCUGAGGCAGGAGGAUCACUUGAUCCCAGGAGUUCAAGACUGCAGUUAGUGAACUACACUGCACUCUAGCCUGGGUGACAGAGCAAGACCCUGUCUCUA
ensembl:misc_RNA Metazoa_SRP Metazoan signal recognition particle RNA